UUCUUUACAAACUGGGGUGUUUACCUUCCCACUCAAGUAUAUUUGGCAGGGAUGUGAUAUUUGUUAACUCAUUGCUACUGUUACAGACUUUGAUUUAGUUACAUAGAAAAUCAUACUUUAGUUUUCAGUGUUGUUAAAAAAAAUGUCCUUUCCUCCCCCUCAUCACUGGAGAUAUUCACGAAUAUUUUAGUGGAUGAGAGAAACACGCAAUGUUAAAUGUUAUCUUGACCUUUAAUUCCUGGAAAUGCUUUAUGACGUCAUUAUUUCCUUUUAUUGCCACCUACUGGUAAUUCCUGGUCUCUGUUUUGCUCUAAACAUUUGCCAUUAUGAUAACUUUUCUCUACCUAUCCCUUUCCUGUUAAUUUAUUUCCAAAUUUAAUCUCCAUUCAAAUAUGAUGUUUUAUGAAAUAUAAUGUCCUUUUGUCACAUUGUGCACUAAGAGUAUUACUUUUCUAUUUUGUGUGGGGAAGGCUGUAAUAUCUGUUCAGCUCUAUCAAGAACAAAUGUACAGAGCGUCCCACCUAUUGAGACACUGCCUUAUUUCAGCAUUGGCAGCACAAAUGAUAACGGAGACACAAUCUGCAGCGUAACAGUUGAUUCCAUGUACCAUAAAGAAAAGCUAAGUAUACCUUACAAGAGGUAUUAAGCAUGUGCGUGCGAGUGUGUGUGUGUGUGUGUGUACAUUUUCUUAAAAGUCUUGAAUUGAUCUUGAAUUCUAGGAUCUUGAAUAUGGGGAACAAUUUAGCUUACCUCCUAGUGUGGUUCUCAUUUGUGAGUUUUGUGUCGUUUAACAAUAAUAAUUAAUAUCAAGGAUCUACGAACUAUGCAUUGUGUGUAUGUUUGUGUACAUGUGAUUUUUCAGGAAGAAUAAUGGUCGGGAACUGAGAUAGAAAUGGAGAGACUAUCAAUUAUGAUUGACAGAGCAUCAUGACUGAUUAUCAGAAAUGAGAAAAUAUAAAAGUCACAGUUAGCUUCAGUAUAGAAGAGGGAGAAUUGCUGUGUUCCUGUGACCCUGGGGAAAAAGGAAUUCCUAGAUUCACCUUCAGGACAAAGAUUGACCCGGUAGAAAAUAAAACUGAGGAAAGAAGAAGAUACGCACAACAGAGGGGAAGACAUUGGCUGAGCCUCACAAACAUUGCAGAUAUCCCUAUGUGACUCAGAAUCAACACAAGAUCCUGCCUUUAAACACUGAUGCCGAAAAUCAAGAACAUCCUUUAAACUGAAACCAUCAGAACAAACAUGUUUAAACAACACAAAUGUUAUUAUUAAUGUAAAGCAUUUCUAAAAUGCUUUUUUAAAUGUGAAAAAGCAACGAAAGUUUUAGUUCUGACACCACCAGACAAAUAGCUAGGAAACAGACACUUCUGUCUUCACAACAGUAAAAAUAAAACAAACUGAAAAUCAGUAAGUUUUGCGGGCCUAUCAGAAAACUAAGAUUGCAGGAAGAGCUGUCACACCCAAAUAUGAAGAAAUAGAAGACUUCAGAGAGACAAAACCAAGUUCUGCUUAUCAGAAGUAGAAGACACUGGAGACAUAUAAACUCAUAAGAACACUUAGAACACUUACAUGGCAAUGUUAACAAAUUGCUGUAAUCUGAGUAUGGACUAUCUUGAGAGUGAUAAUCCCUUAAGAGCUUCAGUAUUAGAGGGGCCUGCCACAUUCACGGCCUUUAUCUACAGUUAUCUCACCAGAUACUCACAGUGAAGAUGCCCUUGUAGCUCUGGCUGGGGCGGAGGAAGAGCAAUCCUUGUGAAUUACCUCCAGAGUAUGCUCUGUAAAACAGGUUUAUUUUUCCAGGAGAAAAGACACUAACAGCGUCUUCUAAUGUCCAUGAGGUGAUGAAUGAUGACCCUUAUUUCAUUUCUCUUUUAUUCUUGGUUAGCCUGGUUAGAUGUUUAUAAAAUUUCUUAAAUUUUUCAAAGAUGUGGCUUUUGGUUUGUUAAUCUUCUGUAUUAUUUUUUAUUUUCAAAUUUAUUGAUACCUACUUCUAUUUUUACCGUUUUUUUCAUCUGCUUCCUUUAAGCUUAAAUUGUUCUCUUUUUCCUGUAGUUUAUUAUGGUGGAACAUUAUAUUAAUGAUUUUAGAAUCUUUCUUCUUCUCUAAGAUAUGCAUCUAAAGUUAU
rnacentral:lncRNA from 1 species